AGUUUUGCUGUUUCUAAGGAGAGCUCACUUUUGCAAAGUCAUUAAAAUAUUUUAAUUGAAAAUUACAGAUUUUUUUAAACCAAACUUAACAAAACGUUAUUUCCUAUGAGAAUAUUCGGAUGUUGACUUGUUCCCUCCCCUCCAAAUUACUAACAACUGUUAGGUUGUCCCUAUGGCAUAGAUUGCUUUUCAGAGAGUAUUUACCUUAGAGUCUGUCUGUGUUUUAGAGAAAACUAAUGUGCCGAUCUCUUUAUCCUAGGUAUUUAUUACAGUUUCAGGAGCCAGUACCUUGUGAGCAAUUGGUUACAGCACUGUGUGACAUCAAACAAGCUUAUACACAAUUUGGAGGAAAACGUCCCUUUGGUGUUUCAUUGCUGUACAUUGGCUGGGAUAAGCACUAUGGCUUUCAGCUCUAUCAGAGUGACCCUAGUGGAAAUUACGGGGGAUGGAAGGCCACAUGCAUUGGAAAUAGCGCUGCGGCUGUGUCAAUGUUGAAACAAGACUA